AGAGUGAACGCUGGCGGUAGGCCUAACACAUGCAAGUCGAACGGCAGCACAGUGGUAGCAAUACCAUGGGUGGCGAGUGGCGGACGGGUGAGGAAUACAUCGGAAUCUACCUUUUCGUGGGGGAUAACGUAGGGAAACUUACGCUAAUACCGCAUACGCCCUUCGGGGGAAAGCCGGGGAUCGCAAGACCUGGCGCGGAUAGAUGAGCCGAUGUCGGAUUAGCUA
rnacentral:rRNA from 1 species